AAGGAAGAAGCGCGGAGGAUGGGCAUUACCUUGGAGAGGCCCGAGUUCUUGGCGGUGUGUCCAAAUUGGUGUUAUGGAAAAGACGAGUCCUGGGCGGCAUUGGUGGAUCUUUGGUGUGAUGAGGAUGGAGCCUAGGCGGCUAUGAGAACCAAAAAUAAGGCUAACCGAGGGACAGAGGGAGUACAUGCUCAGGGAAACCGAAACCACUAUCUCCACAAGGCAGUUAAUGAGGAGAAACUGAAGCGGCCGCUCUCACACAUGAAGGCGUGGGAGAU